AUACUGAGGACUUACCCUGGACCUGACACUCUGCUAGGUACACAAUCUCAUUCAAUACCACUUGCAAGUAAGUGACACUAUUAUUCCCAUUUUACAGAUCAGGAAACUGAGGCAGAACAAGGAAAGUCACUUGCCACUGGAGAAGCAGUGGUUAAGAGCAUGAGUUUGGAAACAGACACACCUAGGUUUGAGUCCUAUCGCCUUGAGCCUCAGCUGUGGCAUCUGUAAAAUGGGGAUGAUGAACUUAGGGUCAGCAUCAGAACAGCAGGAAGACCCAACGGAGGGCGAUAUCAACAGCAUCCGUGGGGAGGAUGUCAGUAGCCGUGGGGAUGCAGAAGCUGGUGCCCCUUCACGCGGAGGUGCCUGGGACCUAGCAGAACACUAAUCUGGUGCUUGGACUCCUCCCACAGAUGUGGAAUGGGUGCCUACCCGGAUGCGGGCCAUCAUGUCGACAGCACUCGGGUACUGCUACACCUUUGGCCAGUUCAUUCUGCCCGGCCUGGCCUACGCCAUCCCCCAGUGGCGUUGGCUGCAGUUAACUGUGUCCAUUCCCUUCUUCGUCUUCUUCCUAUCAUCCUGGUGGACACCAGAGUCCAUACGCUGGUUGGUCUUGUCUGGAAAGUCCUCGAAGGCCCUGAAGAUACUCCGGCGGGUGGCUGUCUUCAAUGGCAAGAAGGAAGAGGGAGAAAGGCUCAGCUUGGAGGUAGGGGCUGAGGACUAUAGUCUGGGAGCAGAACCCCUGUGCUCCACUCUUGGGCUGGCCCCUCCCCUUGCCUCUGUUCCCCUGGCUCACAGCCUAUACCACAUCUGAUUCCCUGAGCUCCUCUAGAGGCACCACGCCUGCAUCUCCCUCUCUUCGUCCUGCCCACUAGCUGGUCAUUAAUGGCACCCCUCCCCCUCCUCUGCCCGAAGGAGCUCAAACUCAACCUGCAGAAGGAGAUCUCCUUGGCCAAGGCCAAGUACACCGCAAGUGACCUGUUCCGGAUACCCAUGCUGCGCCGCAUGACCUUCUGUCUUUCCCUGGCCUGGUAACCCCCCUCUCCCUGCCCACACCCUGCCAAGGAAGGGGUGAUAGACAAGGCCUCCAGUAGGCUCACUUAAGGGCAAGGCCUAGGGCAUCUGAAAGAGAAGUCAGAGAAUCCCCUCUCCUGGGCCACCACAGCCCAGCCCCAACCCCAGAAAUCUGCUGCAUUCCUGCCCCACACCCAGGUCCAGCCAUCAGGGUCUGCUUCCCUCUGGGGUCACAAUGCCCCACCCCUCACCCACAGGACAAAUGUUCCAGGCCCCUUCCCCAGCUCACAUCCCUGCCGCUCAGUGUCCCCAUGCUCUCCCUCUCUGUCACUGCCCCCCUCUGGGUCAGCUCUGCCCUCUGGAACCCCACAGAGCAAGGCUAGACCAAUGGGUUUCAGACUCGAAGACAAAAAUUAUGUUUAUCUCAAGUUUUCUCCUCUGUCUGACUUUCUCCUGCUCCCUGAAAGCCCUUUCUGUGACCUGGUUUCUGCUUCCCAUCCUGGCCAUUUCUUUGUGAAUAGGAUUCAAUUUGUCCAGGAACCCUUCAAAGGGAUCCCACAGUUCAGAGAGAGGAAGGGAAACAUCUGACCCAGGCAUACAGCUCAAUGCUCACCUCGCCAGUCUGGAUGUUAAACUGCUGCCCAACCAGGAGAGAUCAUUUACUGCCUCCUUUGGUCUCCGAGAUUCCCUCCAGUCCUGAUCUUCUCUAGAGUCAGUUAUUGGCACCUUUGCCACCACACCCUGGACCAUGCCCACGUCAGACAUGACCAGUCAAUCACAGCACUUUCUCCCUGAGCCCAGACACGAUCUCAGAAACCUCAAAAGGACACUCAAGCAGCCCCUAUCAUCAGUUGCAGUUGGCACAAGAAGUGAAGCUAUUCAUCAUCCUGGUGACCCAAUGACCAGCAUGGGGAGUGGCCUCUGCCUGGCUGCAGGUGCUAACCAAUCCUUCUCUGCCUCUCAGGUUUGCUACCGGUUUUGCCUACUAUAGUUUGGCUAUGGGUGUGGAAGAAUUUGGAGUCAACCUCUACAUCCUCCAGAUCAUCUUUGGUGGGGUCGAUGUCCCAGCCAAGUUCAUCACCAUCCUCUCCUUAAGCUACCUGGGCCGGCAUACCACUCAGGCCGCUGCCCUGCUCCUGGCAGGAGGGGCCAUCUUGGCUCUCACCUUUGUGCCCUUGGGUGAGAGACUGGGGCUACCCCAGAACCCUCUGGAAGAGGCUGCCAGGUUGGGUGCCAGGGACUUCACUGCUGGCUCUGCCUCUAAGUCACUGUGUUACCUUGAGCAGGUCCCUGCACUCUCUGGGGCUCAGGGUCUCUCUUCUAGAAAAUAACGCAAUUGGGCUAGAUGACAUGAAAGCUCCUUUCCAGAUCUGACUUGGACUGGGCAAAAAGUAUGGUGGUAUCUGGAUAGUGUGAAAAUUUUUGAGGUAUUGAGAGUGUCCUGAGUGACAUCACUGUAGAGAUAAGCUGAGAUGGUAAAACGACAGAGCUCAUGCUCAAGAAAGACCCCACAACCUACUCCAUCAUGACCUUGGAAAAGCUACGUUUAUUUUAUAUGGGUGUUAGUUGGUUGAUAACACCUAUACCCUUCCAAAAGAACUUGAGGUAUUUUAAGACAAGAACAAGAACAUAUACAACAAAAUAUAAAUGGAAAUAGAGGAUCAGAGGCAGGGGAAAACACAAACAUAGCAGGACACAGGCAUGCAAAGCAUUACUCAGCUUUAAGUUUGGAUCUGAGCUUCUUGGAAGCCAAAGCAAAAAGGGAGACAAGAUCAGCUAAGGAGUGAGAACUCUUAGGUGCUCCUGAACUCCAAGGCCCACCACAUUUUCUUCCCUCUGCAGACUUGCAGACCGUGAGGACAGUAUUGGCUGUGUUUGGGAAGGGAUGCCUAUCCAGCUCCUUCAGCUGCCUCUUCCUCUACACAAGUGAAUUAUACCCCACAGUCAUCAGGUAGGUGCUGGACCUGGGGCCAGGCCCAGCCAGAGGACACAGGUCAGGUGGGACUGUGGCAUUGUCCUGUCCUCUACCCAGGGGAGCCAUCCUUUAUGAACCCCACACACAGGCUACCAAUCCCUACUCUGAACCCUCGCAGGCAAACAGGUAUGGGCGUAAGUAACCUGUGGACCCGCGUGGGAAGCAUGGUGUCCCCGCUGGUGAAAAUCACGGGUGAGGUACAGCCCUUCAUCCCCAAUAUCAUCUACGGGAUCACCGCCCUCCUCGGGGGCAGUGCUGCCCUCUUCCUGCCUGAGACCCUGAAUCAGCCCUUGCCAGAGACUAUCGAAGACCUGGAAAACUGGUCAGUCACUGCCUCUGGCCCCAUCAGUGCUCCUCCCUGGGGAAGCAGGUCUGGGCCCAGGGCUUUUCCUUAGCUCUCUGUCCCUAGGUCCCUGCGGGCAAAGAAGCCAAAGCAGGAGCCAGAGGUGGAAAAGGCCUCCCAGAGGAUCCCUCUACAGCCUCACGGACCAGGCCUGGGCUCCAGCUGAGGACAACGGAACCCCCUUUCCCUGCCCUCCAGAGACUGAUCCUAGCCAGGCACCUUAGGAGUAUAGGGAGGCCCCAUAUAGGUCCAUCCUCCUAGGAUGAAGCCUUCUGAGAGCUUGGUGAAGGUGUCUCCAUCACCACCACCAGAGCCUCCUGCCCAGCCCUGGCCAGUUCAAAGGUUCAGCCAUCCCUGCCCUUGUUCUCCCUGCAACCCAGGCCCUGCCAUUCUUCUGUCUAGCCCUUCCCCACUGGCCACCUUCCCCCACUGUCCCGGUCCUCUUCCCCUGAGGUCCCCUGAUAUCCCCUGGCUCAGUCCUAACAAGACUGAGUCUUAACAAGAUGAGAAGUCCUCCCCUUCUUGCCUCCCACACUUUUCUUUGAUGGGAGGUUUCAAUAAACAGCGAUAAGAACUCUAGCCAUGAUGUUCAGGAAUGGGGGUGGGAUGGGAGCUGGCCACCGUGUGGACACGUGAGCAUGCACAUCUGUCCAUCCACACUUCAUGUACGACAGGCCUGUGUACAGGCACCACAGGUACAUGCAAGCUGGACUGAUGUGAACAUGAGCAAGCACAUGUGAGUGCUCUGAGGUGUGUACACCACGCCUGUGCAUGAAAAUACAUGUGUGUGUCUACACGUCCCAGCAUGCAUAUGAGCAGAUGACUGACCAAGCCCAGAGUGGCUGCAGACAGAAGCCAGAGCCCCUCCAAUCCUGAUUUCUUUCCCCUGAUCACCCCAAAUCUCUGAUCUAUGUCUCAGCCCCAUGCCCAGCAGAUAGUUUUUCUCGUGUUAACUGAGAAAACUGCAAUGGUAGCUGACCGCUGUCAAUAUCAGAAAACUGCAAUGGUAGCUGACCGCUGUCAAUAUCUGCUGCCAUGUUCCCGGUUCCCUCCAGCCACAGCAGAACAGCCAAUCCCUCCACCAGCAGCCAUCCCUUUCCCUCUGGGGUCUCUGCCCAUUCCCUCUGUCUUGGCUGCCGCCCAUCACCAGUUAAACAAGCUUAGGCUUCUCCCAACUUAACAAAAAUCAACACAAACACAUGCCAGGAUGUUGUAUCUCCUUCCAAGGGCCACACUGGCUCUUUCUCCCCUUCGAAGCCAGACUUCAUAAAGGAGCUGUCUGCCUCCCCUGUAUCCACCUUCUAGCCUCAUACAUCUCCCCCACUGCACUCCGGCUCCUACCCCUUCCCUCCCUGGAACCGCUUUCACCAAGGACGCUCAUCCCCUCCCUGUGCUGGAUCCAUAAGUCACUCUUCAGCCCUCCUCUUACUGGCCUUUUGGCAAAUUUGGUCCUACUGGUCACUCUCUUCUUCCUUAGUUUCUGAGAGGCCACGUGUUUGCAGCUCCCCCCCACACACUGGCUACUCCUUCUCAGGCCCCUCUGCGGUAUCCUAUAAAUGCUGCAGUGUUCACUUUGCCUAUCCUGCCCCCACCCCUUUUCUAAGGAUCUGCAUCCCCGGAAUCUGCCAACUGAACAGUUCCAUAAUCUGCCAUCUCUGGUGGUGACCAACUAGACCACAGGGCACUCCAGAUCCAAAUCUCAUUUAUCACAUACUCUCUCCUGGGCUAGGAUUUGAGAUCUUAAGAGGUUCUUAUCCAUCUCUUUGUCCUUGCCCUGGGAAGGCAGGUUAGCAUGAGGCUAGGCUGGCCCAGAUGCAGAUAGAGCAGAGAAAGCCAGUUGCAGCAAGAGAAUAAGGCAGACACACAGAGAAAAAGAGAACAAGAGACCACAUGGGCCCAGAUAAAAAGAGCUGGUGAGGCGACUUCCACUGGUUCUUAAUGAAUUCCAGGUCUCGGUUCCUCAUCAGCCCUGGAUGCGCUUUUUACCCCGGGGUUCUAUUAAAUAUCCCUGAAUUCUCCAAAUAAAUUCCCCUUUCUGUUUAAGCUAACUUGAUGGGCUGCUCCUUGUAACCAAAGAGCUCCAAAAGCAGCUCCUCUCGCUCUACCAUCUCUUCAACACUGAUUUGCCCCAGGAAUCUUUCCUAGGAACUCUUCCUGUAACAUUCUUCCCCAGCACUGUCCAGUGGAAAUAGAAUGCAAGCCACAUAUGUAACUCCAAAUCAUCUAGUAGCCAUUUUUAAAAAGCUAAAAGAAAACAGGUGAAAUUAAUUUUGAAUAUAUUAUGUACAUAAUAUAAUAAUAUUUGACCCACUAUAUUCAAAUAUUGCAUUUCAGGAUUAAUCAAUAUUAACAUUAUUAAUUAGAUAUUUUAUAACCUUAAAUUCAGACUAAGUCUUCAAAUUCUGGUGUGUAUGUUCCACUAGCAGCAUAUUUCAGUUUGGACUAGCUCAAUUCAAGCACUCAGUAGUGGCUACUGGCUACCACCUUGGACAACUCAGACAUACUGCAGGGCUUUAAUUAUCAGCCACAGAGCUAAUUACUCUCAAAUCUGUAUUUAGAUAUUUGAGAGACAGCUUAAUAAAUGUGAAAGGGAUGGUAUUGUACCCCUGCGUCAACCUUCUGGUGACUUCCCACUGGGAUAAAAUCUAAAGUCUUUCACAAGGCCUGCCAUGACCAGGCCCAACCUGCCUCAACAGCUUUGGUUUUUAACACUCUACCUCGUACCCAGAAAUCCAGCCUCAACUGAUCUUUUUCAGAUCCUAGACUGCCCCUGCUCUUCACCAUGCCCAGCACUUGGCUUCUCCCCAUCCAACUCUACAGCACUUGGCUCAUGCCAACUCAUCCUUAAGGCCUAGCUUGGAUGGAUUCCUCUGAAAAGCCUUCUGUGACCACCCCUCAACUGCCCCAGAGCCUGGGUUGAGCACCCUGCUUAUCAGACAAUGAACUGUGAUCACAGUUGUGUCUUAGUGGGUGUUUCCCUGGAAGCAGACUCAAGACAAGAAUUUAAGUCCAAGUACCAUAGAUUAUUUGGCAGGAGAUCCUAGAAAGCACAAGUAGGGGAGUUAGGCGGUAAGUCAGGGAAGAGAAUCAAGAGGCAAGAGGAAAGAGAAUGAGAAGGGAAGAAGGUUCUCCCAUCCUAGCCCAUCUGUCAUCCAGCCAUGUGGGAAGCUGCUGGGACUGGCCAUUUAUGAUCAUGUUGGAUGCAGGACUCCCCCCUUGCCAACCUGUAGAUAACCUGGGGCUGGCGCCUAGGACCAGCCUUGUGCUACACUGCCCCCUGAGAUCUGGCCCUUAUGCUGAGAGUGCUAUGGGGUUGGAUGGGGAGAAGCCACCUAGUUUCUAUCUUGGAACCUGGUUUCUACCUAUAGAGUUUCUACUGUGGAGCCUAGGAUCAGCUGACAACAGAGCCAGCAAUGCUUCCCCUUAGUUUGACUGGGUCUCGACCUGGAGGGAGAAGGACUAGGCUCAGGGAGGAAUACUGACCCCACUAUGCCCCCAUCUUUCAGUUGUCCGGAAUUCCGAGUGGCUGCCAGGAUGUCCUGGCCAUGACUAUUCCUGUGCUUCAGGGUGCUUAUUGCAAGGACACACAUGAAGGGAAGGGAAGACACCCAAGAAAAUACUUUCCAGGUACAUGGUCAGGACUUAUGGUGAACUGAGAUGUUGUUCAGGACAAACUGGCCACUCACAAGACCCGUUCUUCUUGCAAUCCCCAAAUCCCCAUUCUGGAUUCCUCCUUCUCUCCAUUGCUGCUUAUUCCUCUACAACCCCAGCUCCGCUUGCUUUUUCUACUCCCUCCCUUCUGUCUCUAAGCAGGGACUCCACCUGGCUCGGUACAUGGAGAUCCAAUAUGGAGCACCACUUUUGGGCAGAGUCCUCAUGCUGCGUCAACUCAUAGGUCACUGGCCUCAUGUCCAGCCUUUAUAUGGAAGUCUUUGGAUGAAUUUCUAAUUUCUGCACCAUCCGUCAGCCAGGAUAGUCAGGCCACAAGGCACAAAGCUCACAGUGUAUCUCAGAAUUCCUUACUCAGAAUGUUGCGAGGGGCCUGGCAGACACUUGGAAUCUGCUGGACCCUCCCCAAGUCAAUCGUUUCAAACCCAUGCUUAGGACAUGUGAUCUAAGUAAGAGUGUUUUAUAUGAUCUGUAAAUUAUGUAUUUGAAAAAUCUCACAAAAGAAUAAAAACAAAAAUCACAGGUAGUCCCACACUUUAAAUCCCAAUUAUAAAAUGGAAUAAAGUUAUACAAAAUCAGG
rnacentral:lncRNA from 1 species